GCGGAGGGAGGGAGACGAGGUGGAGAUUCACUGACCCUGAAAAUCGCUCUCUCCUACCUUCUUCCUAGACAAGUCCACAUUGUCACCUUUCCUUGAUAGCAGGGUGAUAAUUAAUGUUCCACCCAAGAGAGGUUUCAUUUUUCCACCAGAAUUACCUAUUAAUUUGCUAGAUUCUUCUGAUUAAGCAGUGAGCCUGUCAGCAUGGGUUCAUCAUUCCGCACAUCCUUUCCUUUCAACAACUAAAUCAAGGCCCCAACCAACCCAGACAUUUUCAAUUUCCUCUCUCACCAUGUGGAUGUUCCCCUGUCUUUUAAUAACAUUUUUCAGUCAGCUCCUGUCUCCCUGAGCAAGCCGAUUUUUGCUUCAUAAAAAGCCGCUAUUGUCUCCACCUACUUACUUCAUAGAGGAAGGUAACGGUUCCCAUCAGUGCCUGGAAAUGGAAACCUGAAGAUUCCCUGCUUGAGAGGAAGGCCUCCUGCUAACACAGAAGAGUCUCUGCUGGGAAGUACACCCACCCCCCAACUCUGGAGAGCGAGGGGCCUUGCCGUGUCCUGUAUCUGCAAGGCAGAGACUAUCAGUGGGGCCCAGGAAGAAGAAGGGCAUCUGUGAAAGAGUAAGCAGACUCAUUGUGCAGCAGAUGUGAACUCAAGACAAGCUUUUGAAAUCCCACUUCUGGGCAGACAUGCAUUUCCUUCCAUUCACCUUCAAGCCACAGGUAUGAACAAAGGCUCAAAACAUACUUCCUGGGUUCAUAAAUCACAACAAAUUUGGUCCAACGUGGUCCUCCUGCUGUCUAGACUCCUGGGCAGAGAUCUCUGCAUAGUCAUCAUACAGUGGCCUGUAAACACAAUCUAAGGACCCCAAACUGAGAUCACAGGUCACUAACAAGGAUACACGUAAGAAGAUUCAUCAUCAGGGCUCAGACACAGCCUGAAGGCACGCUCAAAGUCUUUCUAUCUCAAGAGUCUAAGCGAAGAAGAUCAAGUUCAAAAUCUGACAUGGCAGGUGAUUUUGAAAUACCCAAGAGACUCAAGUAUGCAGUAGGAUGUUGAUCUGCAGGCCAGAAGAGUUACAAUGCAGAAUCAUUGUAUUCAUUGUCUCCUUGCUAUGGCAAAUGUCUGAGAAAGGUUGCUGAAGGAGGGAAGGUUUAUUUCGGCUCAGAGUUCAAGAGUCCAGAAAAGCUUGUCAUGGUGGAGGAGUCAAGGCAACCCAGGUGUGAAGAGGUUGGUCACACAAGAGACAAACGAGCCGAAAUUUAGUAGCACAUACACCUUGUGCGCACACAGAUGAUGUCACAGGAAAAGUGAGUGAGUCUCACAGAAGUGGCUUAGAGCACAGGUUCAAAUCCCAUCUCCUCCCACAACGAAGGAAGGUGUUGGUGAAGAGGGGAUCGUUCCAGAAGCGUCCAGCAAAAGUCAGGAUGGUGGUGUAGCUCCCUUCUUUCUCCAUUAGUGAGACUUGGGCUCACUCUUCUAUGGAGAAGGAGGUAUACAAAUGGAUGCUUUCUUCCCAUCUCCACACAGGAGGGCCGGGAUUGCAAGCAGCUCUUUUGGUUUGUUAGCUUUUGUUUGUUUUUAGUAGGACAUUUUUGUUUGUUUGGUUGUUUGUUUUUAUCCACUGAGGCAUUAAUUCUGCUUAUGUUUUUUUAAUAAAAGGAAAGCAUGCUAUGAAACGGUUUUUGUAGAAUGCCAGCCUUAUUGGGAAUGGAGGU